GAAGGAAAAAAAAAGCCUUAAAUCACUGACAGGUGUAGGAAGCAGUGCUUCCCCAGUGAGCGUUCAGCAGCAUUAGUCUGGGGCUCAUCGCACAAUUUUCUUCCUCUUCUUUUGUCCACAUGGCAAGUAGUACUUGGGAGCUUGGAUCUCUCCCAUUCAUUAAGUAAACCUUGAUGAGCCUGGAGGGAAAGGACAACAAUCAAGAGAGAAACGAUCCUGUUAUUGCCUAACUCCUUUCCAAACGUAUAGUUCCUUACAGCACACCAGAGGCUAUUUUGGAAGAACUGCUGUUGUAUCCUCAUCCUUCAAACAUUGUGCACAUUGUGCACACUAAAGUAUUCCACAUCAUGUAGUGCACUGGGAGUUAAAGAGUUAAUGCUCCAGUUUGGGGCACCCCUCCAGAAGAGAAGAACUACAUACCCCAGAGGGCUUUGCGUUCAGAGAGGGGAUAUCAGCUUUCAUGGAUCACCUGGCCUACCUUUUUUCCAGCUCUCCUCCCUGCUGCUCAACCCAACUGCACAUCUCACCUCAGCGUUAUGGUGAGGCCUUCCCACCUUUUGGACACUCUCUCUCAUUAUAUUUGAUUUAUUAGAUUCAAUUCUAAUUAUAUUGUAUUAUAGUAUGUUAUCUUGCAUUCCGAUACCAUAGUUAGUAAAUUAGUUUGUUUCACCUCAGAUCGCUGCCGUUGUUUUUAAUUAUUUUGGGGUCCCCUGUUUCCCCUUUCCAGAGGCACGGAUUCAUGAAUCCCUCUGCCCUGCUGGUCACAGAACCCCAAACUAGCAAACAUCCACAUGUCUGAGAUGGGAGAAAUAACUUCCUCCAAACACCACUCAUUUAUUCCUCUCCAUUCAAGGCAUAGUGCGUUCUUAGCUGCAGAACUGCAUUAGUACAUAAGCAUGUCUGGAUUUUGAUCCCUGUUCUGUUGAACUCAGUUAGUUUCUACAGGUCUUCAAAGUUGCUCAAUACUUGUUAAAGCAGCCAAAUACUUGAAGGAAGUGCAAAUAAAAUAAAAGAAAAUAUUU
rnacentral:lncRNA from 7 species